GGGCUGGCGACGGAAGUGACGUCAGAGCUCGUGCGUGCGUGAGGGAAGAUGGCGGAGGCGGUGGAGAGCAGAGCGAGACUCACUCGGGAGCUGGAGGCCCCUGGAGGGACUGCAGCAGCCCUUGUUUAUGGCCAGCUUCUGGCUUUGUCCCUGCUGCACAGCGACACGUGAGUGGCUUCUCUCCACCUGUGGCUUUAGCCCCGGGGUUUGUCACCAGCAGCUCGAGCUGCAGCCGCCAGAACUGAGGAAUUGGUUGUGAAUAACAGGCGGUAUCUCUGGAAAAGAAUCCCUCCUCCCAUCAGAUCUGUAAGUACUGGAUUUCCAGCUGUGACCACUGUAGAGAAGACAUUCUUCUGGAUGAACACUUGGGAGGGGUUUUGGUCACAACAGGCAAAUGCUGAACAUGGUGCAGUUUGGUCAGUGGGACAGAGAAUCUGGCAGAGAGACUUGGAAGCACUCAGAGGUCCAAAGUGACCUUGUGUGGGCAGCAGGGAAUUGCCUGAAAUGAUUCCUGUGUGCUCAAACACUAAUUAUGAGAAAUGAGAACUGCUGCCAAAUUUGUGUGGGUUUUCCUGAAAGGAUUUUAGGUAUUAGGUGUAAAUAAAAACCUCAUGACAAAACCUUGUAAAAA